rnacentral:sRNA from 1 species
AUGUACCACGCGUACAUUCAUGUUCCUCCGCGCCAUCCGCACCCACCUGACGACUGCUCGCUACGUUGUGUUAGCC